GAUGAACGCUGGCGGCGUGCCUAACACAUGCAAGUCGAGCGAGAUAAAUGAGAGUGGAGACUUCGGUCAAAGCGAUCAUUUUGAAAGCGGCGGACGGGUGAGUAACGCGUGAGCAAUCUGCACCAUACAAAGGGAUACCCACUGGAAACGGUGAUUAAUACCUUAUAAGACCACGAAGUCGCCUGGCUUAGUGGCAAAAGAUUUAUCGGUAUGGGAUGAGCUCGCGUCUGAUUAGCUAGUUGGUGAGGUAAUGGCUCACCAAGGCGACGAUCAGUAGCCGACCUGAGAGGGUGAACGGCCACACUGGAACUGAGACACGGUCCAGACUCCUACGGGAGGCAGCAGUGGGGAAUAUUGCACAAUGGGCGCAAGCCUGAUGCAGCAACGCCGCGUGAAUGAUGAAGGCCUUCGGGUCGUAAAGUUCUGUCCUAAGGGAAGAAUACAGUGACGGUACCUUAGGAGGAAGCCCCGGCUAGCUACGUGCCAGCCGCCGCUGUAA
rnacentral:rRNA from 1 species